rnacentral:tRNA from 3 species
GGGGGAUUAGCUCAGUUGGUUAGAGCGCAUGCAUGACACGCAUGAGGUCGGCAGUUCGAAUCUGCCAUCUCCCACCA